GAUGAACGCUGGCGGCGUGCCUAAUACAUGCAAGUCGAGCGAACGGACGAGAAGCUUGCUUCUCUGAUGUUAGCGGCGGACGGGUGAGUAACACGUGGAUAACCUACCUAUAAGACUGGGAUAACUUCGGGAAACCGGAGCUAAUACCGGAUAAUAUUUUGAACCGCAUGGUUCAAAAGUGAAAGACGGUCUUGCUGUCACUUAUAGAUGGAUCCGCGCUGCAUUAGCUAGUUGGUAAGGUAACGGCUUACCAAGGCAACGAUGCAUAGCCGACCAGAGAGGGUGAUCGGCCACACUGGAACUGAGACACGGUCCAGACUCCUACGGGAGGCAGCAGUAGGGAAUCUUCCGCAAUGGGCGAAAGCCUGACGGAGCAACGCCGCGUGAGUGAUGAAGGUCUUCGGAUCGUAAAACUCUGUUAUUAGGGAAGAACAUAUGUGUAAGUAACUGUGCACAUCUUGACGGUACCUAAUCAGAAAGCCACGGCUAACUACGUGCCAGCAGCCGCGGUAAUACGUAGGUGGCAAGCGUUAUCCGGAAUUAUUGGGCGUAAAGCGCGCGUAGGCGGUUUUUUAAGUCUGAUGUGAAAGCCCACGGCUCAACCGUGGAGGGUCAUUGGAAACUGGAAAACUUGAGUGCAGAAGAGGAAAGUGGAAUUCCAUGUGUAGCGGUGAAAUGCGCAGAGAUAUGGAGGAACACCAGUGGCGAAGGCGACUUUCUGGUCUGUAACUGACGCUGAUGUGCGAAAGCGUGGGGAUCAAACAGGAUUAGAUACCCUGGUAGUCCACGCCGUAAACGAUGAGUGCUAAGUGUUAGGGGGUUUCCGCCCCUUAGUGCUGCAGCUAACGCAUUAAGCACUCCGCCUGGGGAGUACGACCGCAAGGUUGAAACUCAAAGGAAUUGACGGGGACCCGCACAAGCGGUGGAGCAUGUGGUUUAAUUCGAAGCAACGCGAAGAACCUUACCAAAUCUUGACAUCCUUUGACAACUCUAGAGAUAGAGCUUUCCCCUUCGGGGGACAAAGUGACAGGUGGUGCAUGGUUGUCGUCAGCUCGUGUCGUGAGAUGUUGGGUUAAGUCCCGCAACGAGCGCAACCCUUAAGCUUAGUUGCCAUCAUUAAGUUGGGCACUCUAAGUUGACUGCCGGUGACAAACCGGAGGAAGGUGGGGAUGACGUCAAAUCAUCAUGCCCCUUAUGAUUUGGGCUACACACGUGCUACAAUGGACAAUACAAAGGGCAGCGAAACCGCGAGGUCAAGCAAAUCCCAUAAAGUUGUUCUCAGUUCGGAUUGUAGUCUGCAACUCGACUACAUGAAGCUGGAAUCGCUAGUAAUCGUAGAUCAGCAUGCUACGGUGAAUACGUUCCCGGGUCU
rnacentral:rRNA from 1 species